GACGACGCUGGCGGCGUGCCUAACACAUGCAAGUCGAACGGGGGUAUUUAUUUCGAUGAAUACCUUAGUGGCGAACGGGUGAGUAACGCGUGAGCAACCUAUCCUUAAGAGGGGGAUAACAUCUGGAAACAGAUGCUAAUACCGCAUAAGACCACACUGCCGCAUGGCAGAGGGGUCAAAGGAGCAAUCCGUUUAAGGAGGGGCUCGCGUCCCAUUAGAUAGUUGGUGAGGUAACAGCUCACCAAGUCAGCGAUGGGUAGCCGAGCUGAGAGGCUGAUCGGCCACACUGGAACUGAGACACGGUCCAGACUCCUACGGGAGGCAGCAGUGGGGAAUAUUGGGCAAUGGGGGGAACCCUGACCCAGCAACGCCGCGUGAGGGAAGAAGGCCUUCGGGUUGUAAACCUCUGUCAUUAGGGAAGAAGAAAGUGACGGUACCUAAUGAGGAAGCCCCGGCUAACUACGUG
rnacentral:rRNA from 1 species